CGAUCCCUGGCUCAGGAUGAACGCUAGCGACAGGCUUAACACAUGCAAGUCGAGGGGACAGCAUAGAAGUAGCAAUACUUCGGUGGCGACCGGCGCACGGGUGAGUAACGCGUAUGCAACUUACCUAUCAGAGGGGAAUAACCCGGCGAAAGUCGGACUAAUACCGCAUAAAACAGGGGCACCGCAUGGUGAUAUUUGUUAAAGAAAUUCGCUGAUAGAUGGGCAUGCGUUCCAUUAGGUAGUUGGUGAGGUAACGGCUCACCAAGCCGACGAUGGAUAGGGGAACUGAGAGGUUGGUCCCCCACACUGGUACUGAGACACGGACCAGACUCCUACGGGAGGCAGCAGUGAGGAAUAUUGGUCAAUGGGCGGGAGCCUGAACCAGCCAAGUCGCGUGAAAGGAAGAAGGAUCUAUGGUUCGUAAACUUCUUUUGCAGGGGAAUAAAGUGCAGGACGUGUCCUGUUUUGUAUGUACCCUGAGAAUAAGGAUCGGCUAACUCCGUGCCAGCCGCAGC
rnacentral:rRNA from 1 species